UGGCUGUCUGCAGCCUUGACCGCCUGGGCUAAAAUGAUCCUCCCACCUCAGCCCACCAAGUACCUGAGACUACAGGGAUGUGCCACCAUUCCUGGCUAUUUUUUUAUUAUUAUUAUUAUUUUUUUUUUUUUUUUGAAGAGAUGAGGGUCUUGCUGUGCAUGCCUUCCCAACAAUCCCCCAAAGUCUUAAUUCAUUCCAGCAUUAACCCAAAAGUCCAACCAUUCUAAAUGGGAGAAAUUGGCCAAAACAAAGGGGACACAGGUCCCAUUCAAGUCUGAAAUCAGCUGGGUGGUCAUUAAGCCUUAAUGUUAACCACUGCACCUGGUCAGUAUUUAAAAAUAUAUAUGUAUAUAUUUUGCUGUAUUGUUAUUCCACUGGAUCUAUAUGAAAAACAGCGACCUCCCAAACAUCAAACUCAGUGGCUCGUUGAGUCAUUCCAUAGCAUUUCCCUUUGUGACUGCCCAUUCUGUAAACCUGCCUCUCUUUCUUCCAUGCAAGGAACUUCACGUUUCCCUCUGGCACAGACCUCUCUCCCAAGUUCCAAACGUCCACUGGAUUUUACCCUGGCAUUUAUUCUUGGUUUCUUAGGGAUCCAAAUACAAAGAGUUAACACAUUUUCCAAAAAUUCUUAUAUGAAUUUCUUCAAUCGGAAUUUAAUUAGGCACCCUUUUGUUGAGUACAUGGAAUUGUGUGGAACUAAAGGAACUAUGACAUUUUGACUGGGCAGGCUCCAGUUCUGGACAGGUCUUGAUUUAUUGCGACUGAGUCCCAACCAACUUUGAUUUAUUUCAGCUUAGGGGAGGAAGGCAAGCUUGGAACAGAAAAGCGCUGUUGAAUGUUGAGCACGUGAUGUCAGGACAGGCCCUCCAGACUUCCAGGGGCACGGGACAAGCGGUUCAGAAGAGAAUGGCUUCUGAGAAAGCCAUUUUAAAACCCUAAGAUUUAAAUAACACGAAAUUGUACCAGACAAAAUAAAUGUAAUCACAGAGGAGAGAAAAUGGCUCCUGAAACAGUUGGCUGAUUGUGGCAGGGUAGGAAGCCCCAGCCUUAUCUCUGGGAAAAGGAGGAAACCCUGGGGGCCUUACUGUUAAUCAGGACUCUCAUUUGCAUUCGGGGGCUGCUCUGUGUGGCCGUCUGUCCUUCCUGAGAGCAAAGGCCAGGAGGACUGCCCCCUCCUCGGCAACACCAACAACUGAUAGUCCAUUAAAUGAGAGCAGAUUUCCUUUUUGCAGGCAGACAGAAUAAGUCAAAAGAAGGCAAAGUUACUCCAUUAAGCAAAGACAAAAGGGUCAGUCCAUUUAACGAACGAAUUUGUUUCCUUUCCGGCCAGGCUUUCCUGACAGAGCCGAUAGUAGAGUGCUGUGCUCACUGCUGUGUCCUUGAGCGUGGGUUGUCAGAACAGUGACUCGCCGGCUCCCACACCAGCAAUGCGCAGUACCUUCCUGUUGGCCAAGUUAGGGCUCAGGGUGGUGCCCACUUAAUACCUCACUGCAGGCUUCACUGGGCCUAGCAUGAUGCCUCGCACAUAGCCAGGAGCCCCCAGCACAGCAGCUUUGACUGCUGACAAAGCCCUGUUCCCUCCUUGGGGGUGGCAGAAGGAGUGCAUGAGAUGGACCUGUCCCCAGUGUCACAUGGUUGACAAAGGGCAACGUCAACAAUUCUCAGAGGCAACGUUAAGUUCCUUAAAAGGGAGAUAAUGGUAGGAAAAAUGUGUUGCAAAACAAAGAAGAGGGGAAGCAGAAGAAAGGGGAUAAGGGCAGAAAAGAUGGAUAGAGGUAGCAUGGCCCAAGCAAGUAAGAACAGCACAAGCUCUGGCAUCCAUGACAUGAGAUCCAAACUCCAUCCCAGCGACUUACCUGCAUGUGCUCUGUGCAAGCUACUUAACCAAGCGAUGCCUCCUUUGGGCAGCGAGCACUUAUUCUCAGGGCAGCUGUGAGGUCCAGGGGAAAGCCUUGCAAAGCUCUUCCACACUGGGCCUCACCCCUGGUGCCGAGGGCACUGGCCGGUGUCAUUAGAGGUGGGGCCUCAAAGGUGCCUGUGCAUCUGCAUGUGGGGCCAGCACAUAGCUGUGGGUGCUGGCGUGUAGGUGGGACCUCAAAGGUGCCUGUGCAUCUGCAUGUGGGGCCAGCACAUAGCUGUGGGUGCUGGCGUGUAGGUGGGACCUCAAAGGUGCCUGUGCAUCUGCAUGUGGGGCCAGCACAUAGCUAUGGGUGCUGGCGUGUAGGUGGGGCCUAAAAGGUGCCUGUGCAUCUGCAUGUGGGGCCAGCACAUAGCUGUGGGUGCUGGCGUGUAGGUUGGACCUCAAAGGUGCCUGUGCAUCUGCAUGUGGGGCCAGCACAUAGCUGUGGGUGUUGGUGUGUAGGUGGGACCUCAAAGGUACCUGUGCAUCUGCAUGUGGGGCCAGCACAUAGCUGUGGGUGCUGGCGUGUAGGUGGGGCCUCAAAGGUACCUGUGCAUCUGCAUGUGGGGCCAGCACAUAGCUAUGGGUGCUGGCGUGUAGGUGGGACCUCAAAGGUACCUGUGCAUCUGCAUGUGGGGCCAGCACAUAGCUGUGGGUGCUGGCUUGUAGGUGGGACCUCAAAGGUACCUGUGCAUCUGCAUGUGGGGCC
rnacentral:lncRNA from 1 species